UACAGAGGUCUCAAGCGUUGUUCGGAUUCAUUGGGCGUAAAGGGGGCGUAGGCGGCUCGGUAAGUCGGUGGUGAAAUCUCGGAGCUUAACUUCGAAACUGCAUUCGAUACUGCCGUGCUUGAGGACUGGAGAGGAGACUGGAAUUUACGGUGUAGCGGUGAAAUGCGUAGAUAUCGUAAGGAAGACCAGUGGCGAAGGCGGGUCUCUGGACAGUUCCUGACGCUGAGGCACGAAGGUCAGGGGAGCAAACGGG
rnacentral:rRNA from 1 species